AGAUUUGAGUGUUAAUAGACUCAAUACUAUUAAUAAUAACUUAUUCAUUGGUCUGGAUUUAUUGCAAGAGUUAAUUUUGUUUAAUAAUUGGAUCAACUUUAUUCCGACUGGAACGUUCACGAGAUUCAAAGCGUUGACUUAUUUAGAUUUAACAUUGAGCCCCGUCACUGAAAUCGAACCUCGAGCUUUUAGUGAUUCCUUUGAUUAUAAAAAUUUG